AUGACACCUAGGUUUGAUUGUGUUAAAUCUUUUAUGGAUACCGAUGUUUUCCGUAAGUUUAGCACUAAAUAUGGACUUGACUCUAAGAUAGUAGCUUCUUUCUGUGAAUCUUUUGCUACUUAUGUUGAUCUCCCCAAGGAGAAGUGGUUUAAAUAUCAUCCUCCCAUAGAAGUAAAAGUAGGUGCACCUAUUAAAGUUGAAGAAAAUACUAUCACUUAUAAUGAUCCUAUUGUUCCUACUUCUUAUGUUGAGAAACCACCUUUCCCUGUCAGGAUAAAGGAUCAUGCUAAAGCUUCAACUGUGGUUCGUAAAAGCAAUAUUAAAACAUAUACACCUUCUGAGCAAAUUAAAGUUGAACCUGAUAUUGCUAUUGUUAAAGAUCUCUUG
rnacentral:rRNA from 1 species